rnacentral:rRNA from 1 species
GGUUUAUUUGAUGACUUGUGACACGGAUAACUGGGGAAAUUCUUCAGCCAAUACGUGCUUCUAAGCCGACUUUGUGGAAGGUGAGUAUUUGCUCGAUUCUGAACCAACCCAGAUCUUCUGGGCUUUAAGUUGAGCGGAGAGUAAAUCUGUCCAAUCGCAUUGCACCGCGAUGCGAUGCAUCAUUCAAGUCUCUGACCUAUCAGCUUCCGAUUGUAGGGUAUUGGCUUACCAUGGCGAUGACGGGUAACAGCGAAUUUGGGUUCAGUUCUGGAGAGGGAGCCUGAGAAACGGCUACCACAUCUAAGGAAGGCAGCAGGCGCGUAACUUACCCAAUUCUGACACGGAGAGGUAGUGACAAGAAAUAACGAUACAGGGCAUUCAUGUCUUGUACUUGGGCUGAGUAGAAUGUAAACGACUCUAUGAGUAUCAAUUGGAGGGCAAGUCUGG